UCCACUUCGCAUCGAAUCGCAUGAAGGUGAUGUCUAUAGCCUGCUCCAAGGUAUAUAUCUUGGUGUCUUUGGCUUCUAUCUCAACCUUCAACUGUCCUAUCUGUAUCUCUCCUGCUCCAACCUCCCUCGUAACUCGACUAAUUCUAUCUGUGCUUGGUGAGCAGCGUCCUUGUAUUGCUGUUCCAAAAUCUGGAGAGUACGAUUUUGUGCCUUCGCCUGCUCAGCUCUAACCUUUAAGUUGUCGUUCCUAACUAUCAAAUCUCUUAUCAUCUCACUGUCUGUGUACUCCUCGCUAGAGUCCAUCGUCUCUUGGGUCAAGGAAUUACUAUUUUGACUUUCGUCAUCCAUCCUAUGACCACAAUAAACGAGACAACAUUAGUACCGAAAUAAAAUAUAUUCAUCGAUAAAAUGAAGGAAUAUUUUAUUUAGUACAACUAAAACUUGAUGAAUCUCUUCGACUCAUCAUAUCCUAUAACUUCUCACCAGAGUACUUCGUCUCUUGGUUCACUGAAUAUCUAUCUUAACUU
rnacentral:lncRNA from 1 species